GCUAGCGCCGCGCGAUUUCGGCGAUCGUCUGUUCGGUCAGAGAGAAACUUCGCGAGUGCGAGGUCCGUUAGAUCGAGAUCUAAAGAGUCCCGAGCGUACUCCGUCGAAUCUCGAUCGUCGGUCCCUAGGUCCCUCGCUGUACCCGCGUACCACUCGCGAGAGAGCUCUCGGACGGCUCGUUCACUCGUUUACUCGGUCCCCGGCGCGGUUGGGUGUGGUAACCACCCGGCGCUCUAUCUCUUUCCUUCUCUCUCCUUUUCUCCCUUGUCCCCUUUCCCCCUCGUCUCCCCGUCACACACUCUCUCGUUCACUCUAUCGCUGGCUGUCUCUCCGCUUGUCCUAGUCUCGCACGGUAUCUCUCUUGCCCCCUCCUUGGUCUCUCCGCUGGUUGUCUCGCUUCCGCUCUUGCUCUCGCUGCCUCUCUCUUUUUUCCUUCGAUUCGCACUGCCGAUCCUUGUCUCUCCUGCUCCGUGCCUGCCGCUCGCUCGCUCGCUUGCUCGCCUGCUCGCCUGCUCGGCCGCUCGAUCUAUCCUAUUCUUUCUUGUAUCGCACACGCGAGACAAGAUACGAUUCUCACACUGAAUAUAUGCGCGCACACGCGCAACGUGUACGCAACGUAUGGUGAAUCGACAGAGCCUGAGGACGGCUACGUAGAAAGAACGAACGAACGAACCGGGAACGAGAGGAUAGAAGACGAUGACGAGGUCGUCUGCUGUUAUUGCUGCUGCUGCACGAGCGCCCACACCUCGAACGGAGUAACUCCUCCUGCGACUCGCGCCGCGCCCGCACGACGAACGUCGUCGUCGUAUGAUACUAAAGGAAGUAUGUACAUCGCGAUGAUAAUUGUUCGACUCUGAGAUGACCUUGGAGGACCCUGGGAACGCCACAUUCAAAUUUUUAAAUGGAACUUUACAUUUUUUAUUACGUAUUCUUAUAUCUGUCCUGGAAUUAUUUCAAAACACUGCCUGCACAUCAUUUUGCAUAACCAGUUAUCGAGUUAUUAACCUUCAAAUUCGGCGUGCCACCGGAAUUAGCAUUACCUACACCACAGUACCUACACCUCGCACAUCAUGUUUAGUCGGACUUUGUACAACAUGUUUGAUAUACACGAAACCAAUUUUAUGCAUGCAUGUUCUUCACUUCCAUAUUAAUAAUUUCCUUAGUUUUGGCAAGGUAUUUUAGUGUACCUUAUAAAAUCUUUACAUACAAUUCAUUUUUCUGUUCUCAAAAUUUGGGAAACGGAGCUACGAAGUCUGGAAUUGAUGUGUUUUGUUCUUAAAAAUUUCUAAAUAUUGUAUUGUUAUUCAAACACCAUAAUCGUUUGCGUCUUAGAUGGAAAAAUAAUGUGGUUUUAUGUUAUUUAUAACUUUAUUCACGUUUUACAAAUAAGUAUAUGUAUAUUAAAAACAGGAAGGGAUUAGUAUUUUUAGGAUCAAACUAAAUGCUAUAUUAGAAAUAACUUGAGAGCUUAUUGUCAAUUUAAAAUACUUUUCUUACUGUGGGAUACACCUGUUUUCUGAAGUAAUUUAAAAACUUUUUUCUUCAAAGAUUGUCACUUUUUUCAAAGUUACACUAUUCGACGCGUAUCUUUAUUUGUAACUUUGAGUAUAACACGCAAAUUUCAACUUUGGAAUAACUUACUUGGAUUACUUACGUACUAGUAUUUUGAGGACGUGAAUACUAUUCUUAUCUGAACGACGUGAUACAAUUUAAUAUUAAGUCAUGACUGUGGAAAACUGUGUAAACAAUGGUUGAGAUAAAGACAUCUAGAAAAUACGACAAGCUUUAAUGACGAAUGGAUUUCGAUGGUCAAUGUUAAAGAAAUACCAUUUUACAUUAAAAAAUAUUACUUCAUAA